AGAGUUUGAUCCUGGCUCAGAUUGAACGCUGGCGGCAGGCCUAACACAUGCAAGUCGAGCGGUAGCACAGAGAGCUUGCUCUCGGGUGACGAGCGGCGGACGGGUGAGUAAUGUCUGGGAAACUGCCUGAUGGAGGGGGAUAACUACUGGAAACGGUAGCUAAUACCGCAUAACGUCGCAAGACCAAAGUGGGGGACCUUCGGGCCUCAUGCCAUCAGAUGUGCCCAGAUGGGAUUAGCUAGUAGGUGGGGUAAUGGCUCACCUAGGCGACGACCCCUAGCUGGUCUGAGAGGAUGACCAGCCACACUGGAACUGAGACACGGUCCAGACUCCUACGGGAGGCAGCAGUGGGGAAUAUUGCACAAUGGGCGCAAGCCUGAUGCAGCCAUGCCGCGUGUAUGAAGAAGGCCUUCGGGUUGUAAAGUACUUUCAGCGAGGAGGAAGGCAUUAAGGUUAAUAACCUUAGUGAUUGACGUUACUCGCAGAAGAAGCACCGGCUAACUCCGUGCCAGCAGCCGCGGUAAUACGGAGGGUGCAAGCGUUAAUCGGAAUUACUGGGCGUAAAGCGCACGCAGGCGGUCUGUUAAGUCAGAUGUGAAAUCCCCGGGCUCAACCUGGGAACUGCAUUUGAAACUGGCAGGCUUGAGUCUUGUAGAGGGGGGUAGAAUUCCAGGUGUAGCGGUGAAAUGCGUAGAGAUCUGGAGGAAUACCGGUGGCGAAGGCGGCCCCCUGGACAAAGACUGACGCUCAGGUGCGAAAGCGUGGGGAGCAAACAGGAUUGGAUACCCUGGUAGUCCACGCUGUAAACGAUGUCGACUUGGAGGUUGUUCCCUUGAGGAGUGGCUUCCGGAGCUAACGCGUUAAGUCGACCGCCUGGGGAGUACGGCCGCAAGGUUAAAACUCAAAUGAAUUGACGGGGGCCCGCACAAGCGGUGGAGCAUGUGGUUUAAUUCGAUGCAACGCGAAGAACCUUACCUACUCUUGACAUCCAGAGAACUUAGCAGAGAUGCUUUGGUGCCUUCGGGAACUCUGAGACAGGUGCUGCAUGGCUGUCGUCAGCUCGUGUUGUGAAAUGUUGGGUUAAGUCCCGCAACGAGCGCAACCCUUAUCCUUUGUUGCCAGCGAUUCGGUCGGGAACUCAAAGGAGACUGCCAGUGAUAAACUGGAGGAAGGUGGGGAUGACGUCAAGUCAUCAUGGCCCUUACGAGUAGGGCUACACACGUGCUACAAUGGCAUAUACAAAGAGAAGCGACCUCGCGAGAGCAAGCGGACCUCAUAAAGUAUGUCGUAGUCCGGAUUGGAGUCUGCAACUCGACUCCAUGAAGUCGGAAUCGCUAGUAAUCGUAGAUCAGAAUGCUACGGUGAAUACGUUCCCGGGCCUUGCACACACCGCCCGUCA
rnacentral:rRNA from 1 species